GCUACAAUGGAUCCUAUUAUAACAAAGCCUUGGAGUUUUCUAGGGACCUGGUUCCAAAAUGAUGAUCAUACUCCAUUUGCUACUGCAUAUGGGAAGACAUUGUGGGACUAUUUUACCCAUGAUCCUCAGCUAAAAGAUUUGAUAAAUGAUGGCUUAGCUAGUGAUUCUCAAUUGGUUACUAGUGUUCUAGUAGACAAGUGUAAAGGGGCAUUUGAGGGAUUGGACUCCCUUGUAGAUGUUGGGGGUGGCACAGGAACUACGGCCAAGGCCAUUGCUGAUACAUUUCCACUCAUGGAGUGCACUGUGUUUGAUCUUCCUAAUAUUGUUGCUGGCUUGCAAGAGAGUAAGAACUUGAAAUAUGUUGGAGGCAACAUGUUCGAGGCAUUUCCAACCGGAGACGCAAUUUUAUUAAAGGUUAAGCUUUACUAAAUUUAUUCGCGUUAUUUUUUUCUGGUAUUUUUACUUUUAUAAAUUAUGCACAACAAAUUCCAUUACACAUGAUAAUAUUCAAAGAUUUGAAGGCAAAUGUAAUCAUAGUUUGUGGGUUAGCUAAUGUUUUAUGUUUUUUGAGCUAAUUAUGAAUGAUAAUUGAACAGAAGGUAUUGCACGAUUGGAAUGAUGAAGGAUGCUUGACAAUUCUGAAGCGAUGUAAAGAGGCCAUUUCAAGCCAAGACAAGGUAGGAAGAAAGUUGAUCAUAAUUGACAUGGUUGUGAGGGAGAAUGAGCAAGUGAAUGAUGAAGCCUCAAGCUUAACUAAAACACAACUCUUUUUCGACAUGUUGAUGUUGGUAUUGGUGGCUGGAAAAGAGAGGCGGGAAGAAGAAUGGGCUAAACUAUUUUUAGCAGCUGGUUUUAGUUCUUUCAAAAUUACUCCUAUUGUGGGUUUGACAUCUCUCAUUGAGGUUUACCCCUGAGAGCAUUUGGUUAUUGCAUUAUUAGUAUAAUAAUGUCGAGAAAUACAUUGUUGAAGUGGUAAAAUUGUUCUUUGUUGACAACAUUUACUAGAGUUGUUUGCUGGGAUUUUAACUGUGUUGCCUAUUCCUAUUGUGUUGUUGUCAUGGUCCUACUCUUAUAGACCUUUCCUGUUGUUAUUACUCUUAAGGUUUGUACUUGUUGUUUUGUCCGUAAUUUGUUUUACUUCAGUCUACGCACAUAUAAUUCUAAUUUUAAUAGUUUAGUGGUCUUGUUGUUGAUUGUUGAUCAGAGCAGCGCAACGGAAUCAUGAUAAAUAGUUCAUGAUUAAUUGUGUGGUGUGAUUGCUCGGUUACUGUGUUUUGUAGUGGUUUUAAAUGGAUAGUCAUUUUGGUGACUAAUGUGACGUUUGAAAUUUGGGUCGGAUCGUUCUGGCCGGGUUUGAGGCGCCACAUCAGAGCCCUAUUUUAAGAUGUUACAAAUAUGUUUGUCAAAGCAGCUAUGAAAGAAAUAUAUCUCACUUGCCAUUGUAAAAUGUAAAUCAAAAUAUCCACUUGUCAUUGCCACUUGUCAAGACAUUUGCUGCAAACAAAAAAAUUAUAGGAUUAAAUUUUAAAUUUCAAAAGAUUACAUGAACCUUUUUCAUAUUUAAAUCAAAAGCAAAUAACGUAAUCAUUAAUCCAUACUUUCAUUUUUUGCUUUUGUUUCUUAAUCAUCAAAAACCAUGAUUAUUUAAACCAGAUUAGAUCGACUGAUUAGACUAAGAAUCAACUAGUGCAUCGAUCCAAAAAUUGAUUAUUAGACCACCAACUAUGAACUAAAUAAAUUGAUAAAAGAAAAUCGAUCCAACCGAUUUUUAUGGUUUUGAGACCAAAUUUCAUCUAUCCCAAAUUGAGCAAAAAGAAAACCAACUACCCCUACCCCUAAAAAAUUAACACCCAGCCUCAAAAUCAAUAUAAAUUUUUUUAAAAAGAACCCCUAAUCUAGUUAUUGUAUUACUAAAACCUAUUAUAAGCACGGUGUGAAAUAGAUAAACUGGACAGCUAGAAGCUUUCUACAUAUUUUUUAGAGUGGUUUAAAAGAAAUAAGAAAAAUAAAAAGAAGAUGAUGAGAGAAAACACAAUAUUCUUUAUAGUUUUAGAUUUUGAAAGAUUUUAAAAAAUAAUUAAGUAAUAAAGCUCUUGACUUCAUCAUUGGUAAAAAGAGUCAUUAAAUUUUGGAAUGACAAAAAGUGUAAAGUAUAUUAUUGACAAAACGUAUAUAUUAUAGAUAUUUAUAUAUUUUUUAUUUUUUAGCGACAAAUCUCAAAAAGUAUACGUGAACUAUGGUUUAAUGUGCAAUUGUAUAAAUUGUCAGAUGAUUACAUCAUCAUUAUCACCUACAAAAAGAGCAAAUUGAUCUUUUCUGUUAAAAAUUUCAUCCAUUUAUACGGUUAAAAAUUGGUGGUUGACGGAAUAACCGAAUAGUGACAUAUGAUGUGCCAUGUGUACUGUACAAGCCCAUUUUUGCCUAAGCCCAGAUAAAUAAAACCCCCAAAAACAAAAAAAAUUAAAAAAUUAACAAUCCAAGAAAUUUAACCCAAAACACCCUAGCCCAAUUGAAGCCCAAACUUAAACCCAAAAUACCAGCCCAUUACAACCCAAAACCCACUAACCCAAUAGUCAAACUAGGGUUUCAGUUUUCUGAAACCCUAGCCGCCGCAACCUAUCCCUAGCCUCAGCUAUCAACUCCUCUAACAACCGCUGCCAUCGCCGCUUCUUCCUGCGGUGCUAACCAUGCCCUGCAAAGAAGAACAAGCACGCAAGAGAAACAUGAGAAAAUAGAUUAAAAAAAAAAGUGUUGUAAAUGGCUAUAAAAGCCAUCUAAAACCGAUUAUAAAGGGGGGUUCAGUUUUUCUUUUUUUUUUCGAACAUUUCAGAAAAUAAAAAAAGACACAAAGAAUAAAAAGAAACACAGCAAUCUCAAGGUGAUUGUUUGAUUUUAGAACAAGAUCCAUAUUUUGAUAGUGUAUCCCUAUUUUUUAUUUUUUAAAUUCUUUUUAUAUACGGUAAAUAUAAAAAGAAGAAAAGGGGAAACUCACCGGGGUAGGGCUUUGAAUGCCCGUUCUUGCACUUCAUCGGCCGUCGGAUACGGUGGCAGUGCGGCGAGCAGAGAGGUUGCACAACGGAGGCCGAGGGGAUUGAGAGCCGGAUGUUGAGAGAAAAAGGGGAGGGGUUUUGAAUUUUUUUUUUUAAAUGGUGGCUGUACUGAUUUUCAAAAUUUUUUUACUUAAAUACACUAAAUAAAACGGCGCCGUUUUGCAACUAGGGGUCAGGUGCCAAAACAACGUCGUUUUGGUCCUGACCCGCGACCUGACCCGUCCGCCCUCAGGAUUCGCGUGUUCCUGCGGUGAAGGGGGAUAUUUGCGCACUAGGUCCCUCCUCUUUUGCGCCCUAGUGCAAUUUGGUCCCGUUUUGUUUUUUAAUUCGGCCGCAUAAUUUCUCGUAUGUUUCACUUCAGUCCGCGCCAAAAUGUUGCACAUAGAGCCUGGGAUAUUUUCCAAAUCAGCCCUCCGUUCUUUGAGCGCAUUAUAUUUUGGUCCCCGAGUACCCAUUUUUUGUUUAUUUGCAUUUUAAACCCCGAAUUUCGUUUUCAAAAUUCGAUUUAGCCUGUUUGUUGUAUUAUUUUGGUUAUUUUAUUAAUAAUAAAUUAGAUAUUAUUAUGAUUAUUACUAUAAUUUGUUAUUGUUAUUAUAUUAUUAUUUAUGUUUACUUAUUUAAAUAUCAAAUAUAUGUGUCUUCUUAUAUUAGUAUUAUUAUUUGUUAUUUAUGUCCCUUUUUUAGUUUUAUUUUUUAUUUAUUUCAAGUUUUGUUAUAUAUGUGUAUAUAUACAUUUCUAUAAUAUAUAUGUCUAUAUGUCUAUAUUCUUUUAUUUUAUAACUCAUAUAUAUAUACAUACAUAUAUAUAUUUUUAUAAUUCUACAUAUAUAUAUUUUUAUCUAUUUUCUUUAUUGUUAUUAUUGUUUUACUUGAUGUUCAUUUAUUUAUUUGUUUAUAUGUCCAAUGUUCUCUUUUUAAAAAAAUGUUUAGUUUUUAUUUGUUUAUUUACUUGUUUGGUAUAUACAUAAUUAAUUUGUUUUAUUUUUUUUUGCUCGUAUUAUUUUUACUUACAUUAUCAUAAUUAUUAUUCCGUCAUAUAUAAUUUUUACCCAAAUUCGUAAAAAAGAGAAAAUUUUGAAAAUAAAGACAAUACUCGAUAUUUGGAAUCUUCGAGAGGAUUGAGCCCUAACGCAUUGGGUUCCAAUUUUCUUCGUUAAAUCUAAAUAAUCAAGAAUGCUCUUUAAUAAAAAAAUAUAAAUAAAAGCUCAUUAUCGGGAAUUCAAUACUUUGUGUCCUAACGCAUUGGAUAUGACACGUUGUUUUCUCGGGAAUAAAAAAAAUAAAAGCAUUCCCUAAUGUGUAGGGUUACAAUUUUUCGUUUAGCCAAAUAGUCAAAUACCCUCUUAAAGUCUCAAAGUAUAGGUUUUGGAAGCCAUAAGGUGAUCUUGGUUUCGAGAGUUUAAAGUAUCGUAUCCUAAUGCGCUGGAUGUGAUAUUCUUUCGGAACAAGAGAAUCCUAAAUUCCAACCCAUAUCGUUCAAAAUUUUUAGGAUCGUAUUUUUAAAAUUUUUUAAAGUUUUCAAUCUUCGACACUAAAGACACUAAAUAAUCAACUAGGUACCAAUUUUUGGGCGUUACGAGGGUGCUAAUCCUUCCUCGUACGUAAUCGACUCCCGAACCUAUUUUUUCUAAAUUUUGCAGACCAAAAGCACUGUUUUAAUAAAUCUAAACCGUUUAUUAAAAAUAAUCGCUUUACGAGGUGACCCGAUCACACCUCAUUAAAAAAGAUUGGUGGCGACUCACGUUUUCGUUUAUGUUUUUAAAAUCCAAGUCGACCCCUGUUUUAUCAAAAAAAUGGUGUCAACAGCUUGGCGAAUCCACUGGGGAAGCAUAAGAGAGUCAAGCCAUAAAUUGAUUAAUUUUGUCUUUUUUGUCGAAAAUUGAAAUUUUGAUUUUUAACAUAUGAUCCUCUCAUUGCAUUUCAUCUGUUUUGAGUUAUAGUUUUCAUCAUGUUUUGUAUUUUAAUUUUUUUAUAUCUUCACACAUUGCAUUGCAUGGUCGUGGGUCACACCCUUUUAAGUAGGAGUGAGAAGCUACUCCUUCGUGAGGUUUUCACCUCCGUGCAGGAUAGUGGAUCGCUUUCGGGAUACAUUCGUACCUAUGUCUUCGUGAGAUUUUCAUCUCCGUGCAGCCAUAGGGAAAUGUAUUCCCCUAAACUGAACUCGGUCUAUAUGAGCCUAUAAUGGGUGAAGAUCGAGGAAUUUGUAAGUUCAGGUACCCUUUCUUUAGAACCGAGCCGCAUAUAGUGAAUCCUGAGAAUGUACCCUAGGUAAAGACACAUGGCAACUGAUGAGAAGCUGUUCAAGGACCUUGAUAGGAGUUUUACUACAAGAUUAGAAUUGGUAAUGGGAAUCUAAUUGAAGCCAAAGGUAGAGGAGAUGUUGUGAUCAACACUUGGUCAGGUAACAAAGUAAUUUCUGAUGUGUUUUUUGUGCCUGACAUAGAUAAGAAUCUACUUAGUGUUGGUCAGUUAGUGAAAAAAGGGUAUUCACUGGUAUUUAAAAAUGGCUCCUACAUUGUCAAAGACUCACAUGGUUAGGAGUUACUCACAGUAGCAAUGACAGAUAGGUGAUUUAUGCUCGAUGUGAAUCAACUCGAGAAGAAGGCUUACAGAAGUCUUGUUGACAAUGCUGGCCUACGGCACAAAAGACUAGGCUAUAUCAACCAUAGAUCACUUGACUUGUUGCAUAAGUUGAACUUGGUUGAAGAUAUGUACAAGGUUAAAGUCAAAUUCACUGUAUGUGAAGUUUACCAGCUUGGUAAGCAGGCUAGAUUGCCAUUUCUAGGUAAUAAGGCAUGGAGGGCUCGAGACAAACUUAAGUUGGUCUAUUCUAAUAUCUGUAGGCCAAUGAGGACUCCUUCCUUGAAUGGCAACAAGUAUUUUGUGCUAUUUAUUGAUGAUCUGACCAGGUUUUGUUGGGUUUAUUUCUUGAAGCAGAAAUCUGAAGUGUUUGAAGCAAUCAAAAAAUUUAAAGCUUUAGUUGAAAACCAUACUGGCUGUAAGAUUAAGGCUUUGAGAACUGAUAAUAGCACUGAGUACCUAUUUGAAAGGUUUCAGAAAUUGUGUAAACAAGUUGGGAUUCAUCAUCAGCUAACAACAGUCUAUACACCUCAGCAAAAUGGAGUAUAUGAGAGGAAGAAUAGAACUAUGCUUGAUAUGGCCAGAUGUCUAUUAUUUCAGAGCAAGUUGCCAAGCAAAUUUUGGGUUGAGGCAGUCAAUACCUCAGUGUACCUGCUCAACAAGCUGCCAACUCAUGCUGUCAAAGACAAGACUCCUUUUGAAGCUUGGCAUGCACUCAAGCCAACUGUUUCACAUCUGAGAGUGUUUGGUUGUGUCUGUUAUGCCCUCAUUUCAGCUGAGAAGAGAACCAAGCUUGAAAGAAGGGCUGUUCCAAAGAUAUUUGUUGGGUAUAGCAGUACAAAAAAGGGUUACAGGGUAUUUAAUCCUUCAACAAAAAGGAUUUCAGUGAGUAGAGAUAUAAGGUUUGAUGAGGAGAAGGUUUAGAGCUAGAAUGAUGCAGAUGCAAAGUUGAUUAAAGAAAAUCAACUUGACAACAGCCUGGAAUCAGUUGAAAAUGAGCCUAGCAAUGAAGAUUUUGAUGAUGCUCCUAUGAGAGGUACCAGAACUAUUGCUGACAUCUACCAAAGAUGUGAUGUUACAAUAGUGGAACCUUUCAAAUUUUGAAGAAGCUGCCAGGGACAAGUGUUGGAAGAAGGCCAUGGAAGCUGAAUUAGACAUGAUCCACAAGAACGACACUUGGGAAUUGGUUGACAGACCAGAUCAAAAGAAAGUUAUAGGUGUCAAGUGGGUGUUUAGAGCCAAGUACAAUGUUAAUGGCUCAUUAAACAAACACAAAGCAAGGCUUGUGGUGAAAGGCUACAGCCAGCAAUAUGUCAUCGAUUUCAUGGGGACAUUUGCUUUAGUAGUAAGGCUAGACACAAUUAAACUUCUAUUUGCCUUGGCUGCUCAGAAGCAAUGGAUGGUCUACCAGUUAGAUGUUAAGUCAGCAUUUCUGAAUUGUUUCCUCACGGAGGAGAUUUUUAUUGAGCAACCAGAUGUGUUUAAGGUCCUAGAAAAAGAAGGCAAAGUCUACAGGUUAAAAAAGGCACUGUAUGGCCUAAAGCAGGUACCAAGGGCCUGGUAUGACAGGGUUGGCACAUACCUGUCUAGGCUAGGGUUUGAGAAAAGUGUUAGUGAAGCUACACUUUAUGUGGAAAAGUCAGAAAGUGAGACCUUGCUGAUUAUAUCUCUCUAUGUGGAUGACUUACUUGUGACUAGAAGCAAAGAUGAAUUGAUCAGUGAAUUCAAAGUGCAAAUGCAAGAAGUGUUUGAAAUGACAGAUUUGGGAGUCAUGACAUACUUUCUUGGUAUGGAAGUGAACCAAUCUAAUCAAGGCAUUUUCAUUAGCCAACAUGCCUUUGCCUUAAAGAUUCUCAACAGAUUUUGCAUGUUGAAUUGCAAAACAGUCAGCACACCAGUAGCACAAGGAGACAAGCUGAUUAGUAGUGGAAAUCAGAAAAGGGUUGAUGAGAAAGAAUAUCGAAGCCUGGUAGGUUGCUUGCUCUAUUUAAUAGCAAAUAGACCUGAUAUUAUGUUUGGUGUUAGUCUUUUAUCAAGAUUUAUGCACUGCUAUGAUGUGACUCAUUUCAAAGCAGCUAAGAGAAUCCUCAGAUAUGUAAAGGGGACCUUGAACUAUAGAGUUAAGUUUGAGAAGGGAAAGGAGUUUAAGCUAUCAGGAUACUCUGAUAGUGAUUGGGCUGGCUCUGUCGAUGACAUGAAGAGUACCUCUGGUUAUUUCUUUACCCUUGGAUCAGGAGUUUUCUGCUAGAGAUCAAAGAAGCAACAAACUGUUGCUUAGUCCACAGCUGAAGCAGAAUACAUUGCAGCUGCUGCUGCUGUUAAUCAAGCCAUUUGACUUAGGAAGCUCCUGUAUGAUCUUAAUGAUGAACAAGCUGAACCAACUGAAAUCACGGUUGAUAACCAAUCAGCUGUUGCCAUAGAUAAAAAUCCAGUCUUUCAUGGAAAGACUAAACAUUUGAAGAUCAAAUUUCAUUUUGUUCGAAAGGCUGAACAGUUAAAAGAAAUCAAUCUUGUUCAUUGCAGCUCAGAAAUUCAAUUGGCUAAUAUUCUGACUAAGUCAUUAGGAGCUACUAGACUUGAAACUUUAAGAAGCAAAAUUGGUGUUUGUUGCAUACAGUCUAAGGAGGAGUGUUGAGCAUUGGCCUAAACUGCAACAAAAGACCAGCAGCAACUCAGCACAAGACCAGCAGCAGCUCCAGCUGAAGUGCAGCAUUGAAACUGAACCGAAUGCAACAGUUUAUUUUGUUCCUAUGUAACUUUGUUUAGUUUACUUGUAAUUUGUUCACAAAGUUAGUAGGAUUAGUUUAUGAUUUGAAUUGAUGUAAUAGCUGAUAUGUCAGCUUACUUUUGUGUGUAAUUUAAGUUAGUAUUACUCAUGUAUUAGUGGGAGCAAUUAAGUCAUUAGGUAACUAUCCAACUCUUUUGUAACUUUCUUAUAUUUUUCAAAUUUUGAAUGAAAAUCAAGGUGAAUUUUUCAGUUAUCAUUCUUGCAAAGUUUCUUUCUAUUUUUGCUUCGGUUCUUUUUUUUUUCUUUGUCUUUUGUUUUCCUGCCAAAAGUUCCAACAGUUAGCAACAACAUGAGGAAGAUCAAGCGCAAUACACUCCAAGUGUGGAAGCGCAUCAACAAUGGCCUUGCUCAAUGUUCUGGUACCACCUCCAACAUCCACCAAAGAAUUCAAUCCCUCGAACACCUUUUUGCACUUGUCAAUAAGAAUGCUAUUAACCAAUCGAUCAUUGCUAACCAUGCCUUCAUUAAACAAACUAUCUAGCUUUUGGUCAUGUCUGGUAUAGUCCUAGAAUGUCUUUCCGUGUGUGGUAUCAAAUGGAGUAUGAUCAUUAUUUUGGAACCAAGUGCCUAAACAAUACCAAGGCUCUGUUAAAAUAGGAUCCAACAUAGCUUUCAAAAAAGGUGUUACCCUUAAUGGAUUAUCCUUAAAGUAGCAGAUGAGAAGCAUUCGUAAGAACAUAACCGUCUUCUUGAGCAUCAUUGCAUAAAUUUCGUUGUGCAAAGAAGCCCGAAUGAGCUAAAAUACGCAUGAGCCGGUAGAUGUUGCAUGCCUUGGUAGGGUUGAGCAUUGGUAGUGCAGCAUCCAAAUCAGUAAUGGCCAUAGGCUUGCCAUGAUUUUGAAUAAUAUAUGGGAUACCUAAAUGAAUUGCACAUUUGAGAGACAUGGAAUUUAUGAAAUUCAAAAUGUGGUUCAAAACGUGAGCUUGAGCUUGAAGUAGCUCAUUAACAUGCUCUCCGUUCGCAUUCACCAUAUCCAUCUUAGCCAAGGUCUUUUGGCCUUGCUCUUAACCCACGUAACACUGGAAUUUGCUAUUUAUAGACCGUGAAACAUAUCUGCAAGUAUGGCUUUACUCUGAAUCCGCACAACACUGAAAUUUUCUAUUUUUAGAAUAUUUUUAUGCCUUUUCGUGGUCAUUGGUUCCCAUGCUGUAACGUCUCAAUAAUAGAGUUAAAUCUGUUCAUUGUAAUAAUAGUAAAUGAGCCCAACGCUACCAUAAAGAAAUAUCAUUAAAGAUAUUGCAAAGGCGAAUUGAUCUUCCAUCCAAUGUUGUCUUCAAUCAACCUUUAAAACAAAAUAAUUAAGAAAUUAAAGAAAUAUCAUUUCUCUUAAAUAAUAAUUGAUAUUAUUAGUAUAAUAUUUUUAUUAUUGUAAAAUAGAUAUUCAUGCAGCCCCAUAAUGCCCAAGAAUUCAUUUUCUUGCAACUCUCGUACCCCUAAAAAUUUAUAAGGAACUUUAAUUAUAUUUAUUAGAGUUUUAUAACUUAUGGUGGUUGGGGCCCUAAAAAUAGAAAAUAUGUAUAAGUCUUCUAUAUAUACCAAAGUUAAAGUUGAAUAAUCCUUUCAUUUUUUUGUUAUUCUCUCUUGUUCAUUCUAUAUUUCUUUUUGUUUUAUAAUACAUUAUCAGCACAAUUUUGUUAACGAGUAAUAGGUUCUUAGUUUGUGCAAAAUUUUGUUGGGCUCUAAGCAUUGGAAUUUAAUUGUUUGGUUCAAAAAAUCGUGUGUGGUUGCUUGAGAUUUGUUUGGGGACGACCACUUUCUCUUCACUACAAAGAAUGCUCAUAGUCUAUACUUCUCAUCCACAACUACCUAAGUAAGUCUAAUAUUUUUUUUUUGAAAUUUGAUUCGAUUUCUAUUAAGAAGUUAAAUUUAUAUAAUUCUCUAUUUGCAUUUCUAUGAAUUUAUCAAUCCCUUCUUUAGUUUAAUAAUUGGAAUUUCUACGUGAAGUAUAUGUUUUUUUUUAUAGAAUUGAUUGGUUUAGUUUUAAUUUUGAUUAAAAUAUAUUAUUGUUCUUAUAUCUUCUUAUCUAUUGUAAAGGUGUAUUAUAUGCAAUAAUUAGUUUGGAGUUUAAAUUUAUACAUGCUUGAGAAUUGUAUAGUGAAUUUUUUGCUACAACCUCACUAAGAAAGUGUGUAAAAGAUUCUUUAAAAUUAUGGAUUAGUUUUGAAAGAAAAUUAUGAUAAAAAAAAUUAUCAUUAGAUAUAUUUCAUUCUCUGAAGUGAAUGUAGCAUUACAUAAUCAAUCUUAAAAAUGACAAAGUUAUAAUUGCGAUUAUGAGCAUGGUCUUUGAUGAGCUAUUAUGGGUAUAAUAAUCACUAUAUUAAUUAUAGUGAUUAUAAUAAUUCUUUUCUCUCCUAUAAAGUGGAAUGAUAAAUUUAAAUAAGAGAAUCAUUAAAGUUUUCCAAAUAGCCCUUCAAAGAGAACAAAAAUAUUUUUGUGAUACUCAAAAAUCAUUUGACACAUGCAUAUUGAUUGUGUAUUUUUCCAAGGUUUCAUAAAAAAAAAUGAAAGGGAACAAUGUGUAUACACAUUUGAUCAUUUUUUAUCAUUGAAAUUAAUUUGGAAAUUUGACAAUUUUGACAUAAUCCCUGAAGCGAAUAUUGCACAAAAUUUUAUAGAAAUUAUAUUUCUUUUGUUGAGUUAAUGACAUUAUGGACCUCUCAUAUAAAAGGAAUGACAACGGAAUUAUAAAUUGUCACAAUUUAUAUUGACAUUAUAAUUCUAUUAGUUGUGGUAAAGUACAAGGCUAAAAAAAAGAUGAUGCUAAUAAACAUUAUGAUAAAUAUGAAUGCAUUGUGUUCAUGCCUGUAGCAUGUCUAAAACAUUAAAUUUGGCAAAGUCUUAUAAAAAAAAAGAGAGAUUCCAUAUUUCAUGAUAAUAAAAUUUGAAUUAAAAUUAUGCUAUAAGAGUUGGAGGUUAGAAAUUUUUAAUUUAAAACCUUUGCAAAUUUAAUAUCUUAUUGUGACCUAAUAAUAUUUUGUGUUUUAUUGUGUUACGGUAUAUAAAAAGUUAUCUAACCGCAUGCUUGUUAAAGUGAUUGAGUAAUGACAUUAAUUUAUUUUUUGCUUUUAGUAUAUAUAUUAUUUAUACUUAUUCUUUAUACAAAUAUACAUAUUCUUUUAUAUGAAUAUGUAGGGAUUGUCCCGAUUAAGAAACAAACAAAUAAAAAAUAGCGGAAGUAAUUGAGAAAUUGAGUACACAAAUUUAACGUGGGAAAACCCCUUUAAAGAGGAUAAAAAACCACGGACAAAAGUAAUUUUACUAUAAUGGCAAAAGAACGAAGAGUAUAAAAGAUGGAGAUAAAAAUUAAACCCCAAAACAAAGAACCCUCAAAACGUAAAUACUAAAUUCUCCAAAAGUGUUAUGAGUUCUAAUCUUUUUUAAUGGGUGUAUUUUCUAAGGUUAUAAAAGAGCGUAUUUAUAGGCUAAAUUUGUAGGUCAAAUAAUAAUAAAAUAAUAUAGACUAAUCAAAGUUCGACUAAAACAGAUAAACAAAGUUUAACUGAGAGAUUACCUCUCAAAUUUGACUGAAAUAUAAGGCAUACUCAACAAAUCUCCACCUUGACUCGUAUUUUCACAACGUCAUCUUUGCCAAAUCUCGCCACGAGUCUAUGUUGAACUAUGUAGGGAAUUAAUUAAGUUGAAUCUAUGCUUAGAAGCUGGAAGACUUCUAGCAUUAUUGCUAAAUCAAAACUAACUCGAGUCUGACUUUCACUAACAGAGUGCCUUAACUUUUCAAAACCUGCAUCCAAAAGAGAACCUUUCUUCAACGAAACAAUCAUACCUUUUUCCCUCCUAUGACCAAGUUGCCUCCACUCCAAACGAGUUGACUUCGACUCUGCAAUGGACGAGGGACGUCUGGUUUCAUCGGUCACUAUAGAACCUUCCAGAAUAUAAAGACUAUUGGUCUUUUUACCUUUUAACAAAACAAGAGCCCCACAAGACACCUUAAUGACGCUUGACUCAAUGUUGAUUUUGUAACCUUUUGAGUCUAAAAUACACAAGCAGAUGUGAUUCUUUUGUAAACCGGAACCAUACCUGACAUUUGAGAGUGUCCUAAUCGUCCCAUCGUGCAUCCUAAUUUUAACAGUGUAACACCCCUAGCCCCUCUCUGUCAUGAAUUAGGGUUACAAGCAUGACCGUACAAUUAUAAAUUCUACAAUUAAUUUCAUUCAAUAGCAUAAACAUAACUUAAAUCAUUCAUGCAUACACAUAUUAUCCCUAAAUCGAGCCCUCGAGGCCCUAAAAAUACUUUAGAAAAAAAACUAGACCAAUUUGAAAUCAUUUGAAAACCCUAGGAAAAAUUCACAAAAUUUUGAAAAUAAGGGUCACAUGGCCGUGUAUUUAGGUCGAGUGCCUCACACGGUUGAGACACAGGCCCGUGUCUCAGGCUGUGUAAUAAUCGAAAUAGGGACAUACGGCUGUAUCCCAGCCCGUGCCUAUACCUGUAUAACAUUUGAAUUUGAGACACACGACCGUGUCCCAGCCUGUGUAACUCACUAAGUAAGGUUACACGGCCAUGUCACACACCCGUGUGCUAUCUGACUUGCAUCCUCAGUACUCAACAGAUGACACAUGGCCAUGUCACCAAGCCAUGUGACACAUGCCCGUGUGUUUGGCCGUUUGGACCUAAAAUGUACCUUAAACAACAAGUUUACCAUUUCCUACUUUCUUGGGUAUUAAGCAACUCAAAAACCAAUCAUUUAACCUAUUCAAAAUACGAUCAAACAUACUCAUAACAUGCCAAAACAAUCAUCUUAGGUGACUAACCAAUGUACCCUCAUUGGUACCACAAUUUAUAUCAUCAAAACAUAUCAUCAAUGCCUAAAAUUCAGAAUUUUCCCCUAAGGUCGUGCCCGUCAUUCCGAUCGACUAUAGGCCUUCCGUAGGGUCGAUAUGUGAUUAAAUAUAUUAUAAAACAUGAAAUUUGGUCAUUUUUUGGUUUAUUUUCUGCUAUCCACAAGUGUAUUUGGGAUGUCAUAUGAUAAUUAAAAUUGAGAACAAAAUAUUUAAUUUGUAUCUGAUAUGUUAUGUAUGAUUUUUGCCUUGAUCAUAUUUGAUUUUAGGAUGGGCUAUAAAUAUUAUGUGGAGGAAGUGUUUCUGUGAGAGGUGACAUCUCGCCCUCUACACUGGCAGCACUGCUGCAAAUAUUCUGUAAGUGUCUUAACGACAGUAAGUGGUGUGUAGGGUUGGAUAAGUGUUUCAAACCCCAUGUGGUGUGUUGGGAUGGUUGAAGAUGGUGUAUAGCAGUUGGGGGCAGGAAUUAUAUAUGUAUGUUUGUAUCUGAAUUGCUUUGUUAAGAUUCUGUACUGUUAAAUUGUCUGGUAAUAAUUAUCUGUUUGAGUUGGUUGUUGCACACUAAGUUACAAAAACUCAUUCUCUAUUUGUUUGUCACUUUUAGGUAACUCAUAGACUUAGGAGGGUCGGUGCGACAGGAGCUCGGUUAUAUUAGUAUUUUGUUCUUCCUAACUAUUUUAAAUUGGGUUUAAGUGUUUUGUAAAAUUUGGAUUGUUUGGAUAUUUUGGGAUCGUUUUGGUUUUGGAUUUUAUUUUUUACUUCUGCAUGAUACUGAUAAAACUAUUUAUCGAAAAUGUCUAUUUCCCUGCAAACAAUCGAUUUCGAGAAAAUAAACUUGGUUUUCUAAAAUAUAAUGACCUAAGAAUUUCCAUUGCAAAGUAUCCGUUUUAUUUAGAAAUGUAAACAAAUAAUGUUUUCAAUUAAAUAGUAAUGUCAAAUAUGUUUUCUAAUAAAACGAGUUUUUAAGUAACAAAAUUUUAUGAUGUUUUUUAAAAUAUACGAAAAUUAGAUUUAUAAUUAUUUUACGUAACAUAUCCAAAUCCAACCGAAAUAUUUAGGCCGAAUUUAGGAUAUAGUUGUAUGGUUGUUUCCGUUUGAAUGAAAAUAAUCAUCUUCACUAAAAAUUUAAUAAAUUGACUUGAACUUUAUAAGCAAACUAAAAUAUGAUCACGUAUAUUAUUAUUUGUUUAUCGGAUAACAUUUCAUUCUUAUCAGGCUGCAAGAUUGAAAUCUUAUUGAUAAAGAAGAAACAAAACCAAAAAAAUUUUGAAGACCCAAAAUCCAGAAAAAAGGUAAAAGUAUUAUAAUACGUUUUUUACUAUACUUUAAAUUGUAUUUUAGUUUCUUAGAAGAAAAAAUAGUAAAAUAUUCCCUGUAGUAAGAAAAAUAGUCUCUCCGUUAAAAUUGUACUAUUGAAUGUCUAUUUUGGUGUUUAUAUAUAUAGUAUAAUGAUAAAUUUAGCCUUCAAUUUUUACAUAUUUAUUGAAUUUGACCCCUACUCUUUUAUUGAAAGUAAACAGAAAUUUUUUAGAAAAGAAUAAGUCUAAAAGCCAAAAAGAUUUUAGUAGUAAAAUUUAAAAAAAUCAAUUAAACCCUUUUAAAAUUUAAAAAUUAUAAAUAAAUUUAUAAAAAAGUUAUAAAAAUUAAAAUUAUAAAGUUUUAUUAAAAUAACAAUACCAUCUCAAUAAAAGAAUAGGGGUCAAAUUUUUAAAAAUCUUAUAACCAUUAGAUUUUAAUGGGUCGGUAUUAUUAUUAAUUAAUUAAAAUUUUAUAAUUUUAAAAAUUGUACAACAUUUUUUGGAAUUUUUUUAUAUUUUUAUGAUUUUUUAAAAUAAUUUUUAAAUUUUACAAGAACUUAAUUGAUUUUUUUUAAUUUGUUACAAAGGCUUUUUUACCCUUUACCCUUACUAAUUUCAAAAAUUUCUAAUUUAAUACCAAUAAAAGAUUAGGGGCCAUAUUGAAUAAAAAUGUAAAGGUUGAGGCUAAAUUUAUUUUUAUACCUUAUAUUUAAACACCAAAUUUUAACAAUGAACUAUUUUACUCACUUAUCUAAUGUACAAGGAAUAAUUUACUAUUUUUUUCAAUAGAAAAAUAAAAUACAAAAAAAAAAUGGUGAUACUCUUAUUCGAAUAUGGUGCUACAAUAUUAUCACAUCUAUCGUUUAUUUAUUAAUUUCAAAAACGAGUUAAAAAAACAGUAUCAGAUUUUUGACAGGUUAAGAAAUUAUAAUGACCGUCCAAGUCCUCAAUCAAUAUAUAUGGCUUUUGGGUUUUCUUUUGUCAGAAUGUGCAUGGCUUUGAUUUUAAGCAACUUGGUGCAUUGAAAAAGUCAAUUCACUUAUUUAUUUUUGAUAACGUGAGUAGUAUAUUUAGUAGAAUUUAAAAGCUUCACAAAACUUUUAAAUCACUGUUUUAUUUGUUUCAAACGUACAUAUUAUAGUAAUAAAAAUAAUUUAAACCUCGCGGAGUCAAUUAUUUAUUGCUUCGAAAGUAUUAGAAAUAUGAAAAAUAGGAAAUUUAUUAAUCUGACUUAACAAAUACAAUUAGAUCUCCAAUACUUAUACACCAAAAAUAAUCAUUAACAGAAUAUACUAACAUUGAACUGUUCUUAACUGAUUUACAUUUCUUAGUUACUAUUGAUAUUCCCCCUACAUAUUCGCUUUGAAAAACAUCAGCAACUAUCACAUUUAUGUAAUAACAAGAAAAAGCACCAAUGUUUAACGGUUUGGUAAGCACAUCAGCAACUUGAUCAUUCGAAGGAGUAGUUGACCUGAAGUUGUUCGUUAAGCAUCUUGUCACGCACAAAACGUAAGUCAAGCUCAACAUGCUUGACACGAGCAUGUAACACUAGAUUUGCUACCAAAGACGUAAUGCUAGAAUUAUCACACCAAAUUAUUGGUGUACCUUUAAUCCUCACACCUAUAUCAUCUAGCAGAGAACGAAACCAUGUCACUUCGGAUGUUGCAUUAGCUAGACUUCUAUACUCGCCUUUUGAGGUGGAUCGAGAUAUAACACUUUGCUUCUUAGAAGUCCAUCCGAUGAGGUUGUUGCCAAGAUACACACAAAAUCCUGAUGUUGACUUACGAGAGCUAGCCCAAUCAACAUAAGAAAAACCUGUUAAGGAGACAUUCGAAGGCUGAAAAACCAGAACAUGAGUUAGUGUACCUCGAAUAUAACGUAGGAUCCGUUUGACAGCCGUCCAAUGAACAUCAUGUGGACAAUGCAUGUAUUUGCUGACUUUGUUAACAGCAAAUGCUAUGUCAGGUCGAGUCAGACAUACGUACUGCAAACUACCAACAACUUGCCAAUAUUUGGUACCAUCCUCAAGUGGAGAACCAGUCAACGAAGUGAGCGCAGGGGAUUUUACCAUAGGUGUAUUAACUGAUUUAGCAUUAGCCAUAUUAGCUCGCUCCAAGAGUUCUCCAGCAUACUUUUGCUUAGACACAUGCAUACAAUCUCCAUUUGUAUCCACUUGAAGGCCAAGAAAAUAUUUCAACUCCCUUAAAUCCUUAAGGAGAAUGUUUGGUUCAAACAUUGAAUCACAUCAUCUAACUCGGAGCAUACAUCACCUGUCACGGUUAUAUCAUCAACAUAUACAAGAAGAAAAAUACAACCAGAUAGAGUUUGUUUGAAAAAUAAUGAUGAAUCAGCUCGUGAACCUAAAAAUUCAGCUGUUGAACUAAAAAACCCCUUAAAUUUUCAAACCAUGCUCUCAAUGCAUGCUUAAAAGCAUAGAUAGCUUUGUUCAGUCGACAAGCUAAAGGCUUCCCAUUGACAUCCAAGGCCCCCAAACUAGGUGAUUGUCUCUUGUAUAUAUCUUCAGCCAAAUCACCAUUUAGAAAAGCAUUAUUGACAUCAACUUGGUGUAGUUUAUCCUUUCUCGACACAACUAGCGCAAUAAUAGUUCGAACUGUUUUUGCUUUGACCACAGGACUGAAUGUCUCAUGAUAAUCCAAUUUAACAGCUUGAGAAAAACCUUGAGCAACUAGACGAACUUUGUUUCGAGCCACACUACCAUCUGGGUUCUUUUUUAUCUUGAACAACCAUUGCAGCCAACAAGGAAUCGGUUAGCUGGUGUCGACAAUAAAUCCCAAAUAUUAUUUUUUUACUAGAGCUUGUAGCUCAUCAUGAACAACAUCCUUCCAUUUGGGAAUGGCCAUAGCUUCAUGAAUGUCAAUCGACUCAACUGAGCUAAGAGUAGCAGUGUAAACCUUUGGCUUGUUAACCCCAACUUUGCUCCGAGUAAUCAUAGGAUGAAUAUUACUCUGAGUUGAACCUUGCAUCAUUGAACUAGUAGAAGGAAUUAUAGUCUGAGUAUGCUGACUGUCAUCUGAUUUUGAUACGGACAAGCCUGAAACAGUAGAGUCCUAUUAAGGAUAUUGCAUAGAAUAUUCAGAAGGAGCUGGUAUAGAAACCAUAGGAUGAGUACUCACAGGUGAGGGAAACAUAACAAUUGGAAGAGUAGUAACAAUACUGGAACUAUCAUACUUCCAAAUUGAAACUUUGGCAAAUGGAAAAGCCCUCUUCAUCAAAUUGAACAUGUCGAGAAAUGUACACUCGACUACUCUUAUCCAAACAUUUAUAACCUUUGUGAUUUGGUGCAUAGCCCAGAAAUGUGCAAGGCGUGGACCUAUACUAUAACUUGUGACAGUUGUAUGGUCUCAGCAAAGGAGAGCAUAAGCACCCAAACACAUGAAGCUUCUUAUAAUCAAGAUUCUGACCAAUAAGCUUUUCACUCAGAGAUAUUCCACCUAACACGUUUGUAGGAAGCAAAUUCAUGACAUACUCAAAGUAAAAGGCAUCAGUCCAAUAAGAUAAGGUAAGGAUGCAUGAGCAAGCAUAACCAAACCAGUUUCCACAAUCUUCCAAUGACGCCUUUCCACCAACCCAUUUUGCUCAGAUGUGUGCAGACAAGUGAGUUGAUGAGCUAUACCACAACCCUUGAUAUAUGAAGUAAAGCUGCGAAACUCACCUCUCUCAUCUGUCUGAAGUUUUUUGAUCUUGACACCUAGCUGAAGUUCAACAUGAGUUUUGAAAUUCAAAAACAUUUGCAACGCAUCAGAUUUCUUGCGAAGAAAAUAUAUCCAUGCGUGCCUUGAAAACACAUCUACAGACAAAAUGUAAUACUGUUUGAAAUCAAUUUUCAAAUCUAAACCUACUUUAUACACUUAAAUUUUCCAGCGAAAUUUUCAAAAAAUUAUAGCAGCUGUGAAUAAUUAACAUAUUCUAAAAUAAAUAACACUGUUUUUAUCAUGUAUGUAUAAGAACCAUACUCAAUCUCAUCGUAAAACCCUAAUAAUAAAUAUAAAUAACAUUUCAACUAAUUUCAAGACUUCCUAAUAAUCCAUAUCAUGCAUCCUAAAUUAUCAGUUUUUAAAACAUUAUAUCCCAUGCCAUGGAUCCAUAAACAAUAAUAAUGACAAUAUCAAUAUUGAGAACCGAAUUAAUAAUAAUAUUCUUAGGUAAAGUCCAUGACAAGCUGGGACCCUCCAUAUGUCAAGCCCGCGUUCUAGCCCGUUGGAGUAUCUGAAAAGAUGGAAAAUAGGAGAGUGAGAUAGAGAGGCUUAGUGGGAGACAUUUUACAAUAGAUCAAUUCAAUAUUUGAACAUGCAUGUCAAUCAUUAUAAUCAAAUUCACAUAAUAACCUUAACAAUAUGAUAAUUCAGUUUCUGUCACUCUAGACAAGCAGACAUUAACACUCAAUCGAAUUCAAUUGAACAAUUCUACUAGAGAGUCAUAAUAUCAUUCACAGUGGGUAUAUGCACAUUUAUCAGUUCAGUCAUUUCAUCAGGUGCCUUUCAAUGAUGAUGCAUAUUAUGCAAUGCAACAUUCGUUUAACAUUUCUUUUAACAUUCAUUAAUCUCACCCCUGAUCACUAGCUCUCCAAACAGGGAGUUCCCUAGAACCCUUUCUACCUUUUUACUCAUCUCGUGGACUUUUACCACUACAUUCUUUUGGGUGUAGACAAAAGUUGUCGUUCGGCUGAAGAUCCACAACUACUCCCAGAUAAAAGUUUCUAGAGGGAUCGUGGAUGGCCAGUAAAUAAAGUCAUAGUUGGAAUCUACUAAGACUUUGAAUCCGUAGCGAACAUUCAUUUAUGCAGUAUGGACUAUCGUUCUUCCACCUUUCAUAACAUCCCCCAUGCAUAUGCAAUAUAAUUAGAUCUUUCAGUUUGAUCAUUCAACAUUCUACCUCAUAGCAUAAAUACGGCAAUAAAUAUAUCAACCAUUGAGGCAUAAGAAACAUUUAUUUGGCAUGUAUAACAGUUUGUAAAUAUAUAUAAUCAUUCACAAAUUUAAACAAACAUUCCUAAGAAAUUAUAUUCUAUUGGUAACCAUAAAAUCAUUCACGAAUUUAUGGCAUCAACCAUAAAUAUUUAAAUCAUAAAUUCAUUCAUUCAUGUGUUUAUCCAUUCUAUUCCUAGUCCGGGACCUAAUUGUAAAAUCUAGUUCUCUAGAUGCCAUUAAAAACCUAAUCAAGGGCUGAGUUUUAAAAAAUAAAUAUAGAUAAAGAAAAGCUGUAAUUUUUAGGUUUCAGGGGCCACACUUUAUGUGACCAACCCGUGUAUGAAGCCCCAAGCCCUAUGAGAUGCGUAAAGGUGAAGGUGUAGGAAUAGGCCGCGUACGAUGUAAAGGGGGUGAGUUGUAGGAGCCACAUGGCCGUGUGACCAGGCUGUGUGCAAGUCUCCAAGCCAUGUACAAAGCAUGAAUGCAAGGGAAAGCAAGGGAACAUAGCCUUGUGAGGGACCGUGUAACCUACAUGGGUGGGCCACAAGCCCCUGUGGUAGACUGUGUAUACCUGGCAGUUUUGAAUUUUGACCCGAUUUUUCAUAAAAUGUCACCCACCUUACUUUUUCGGGAUCUCAAGCAACUACCCCACGUUCAAGCUCAAUCCAAACACCUACAAUGGCCUUUCAAUUGGCAAAACGAGAUUAUCAAUAAGGGGUUUUCAAGAUUUGAGGGAGUUUUGACAAAAACUUUAAAGAUUCAAUAACAUAUUGAAAUAUCUGUUAAAGUUUGUUGUUACCCAAGAUUGGAAGGUCCUAAUUGGUAGGGAACAAGAUACUUACUAAUUUUUUUACAAGGAUUUGACAAGUAAGUACUGCAAACUUCAAUGAUUUUGAUGAAGACGCUAGAUUAGGGCUUGAUUGCAAGGAUUCAAGAAUUCAAAGAUUCUUUUUCCAGCUGUAAGGUUUUGAGAACAAAAUUGUAAGAGAGAGUUUUUUGAGAUUAUGAAGUAGAGGUCAGGUUUUUAAUUUGCUAAAAUAACAAAUGGGAAUUUUAGUUAAUUAGGAAGAGACUUUUAAAAAAUUGGGUUGAGCAAGAGUUUGAGGUCUAAUGGGCAAAUAGCCUAGUUGUAUUAUUUGGGAUGUUACAACUCUUAGUUCUCUAUACUUUCUACCAAGCUAUUAACCACUAGGCUAGGAUUUAAUUCUUAAUAAGUACUAAAAAUCUAACAUUAUUAUUUGUGAUGUUACAACUCUCCCCUCCUUAAAGGAAUUUCAUCCUUGAAAUUUUACCUGUUUUGAAUAAGUAAGGAUACUGUUGAUGAAAUGAAUCCUUUGUUUCCCACAUAACUUCCUCAACUCCAUGGUUUCGCCACAACACUUUCGCUAAAGGAAUUUGCUUCAUUCUCAGAACUUUCACAUCUUUUUCAUGAAUUCUAACGAGUUUUUCUUCAAAGGAAAAAUCAUAUUGUACCUCAAUUUCUUCAAUAGGCACAAUAUGCAAUUGAUCAAAACGAUAACGUUUUAGCAUGGAAACAUGGAAGAUGUCAUGGAUACAAUCCAAUUCAGGUGGUAACUCAAGUUGAUAAGCCACAGGACCAAUUUUUUUAAGGAUUUGGUGUGGUCCUAUGAAGUAAGGACAGAGUUUCCCUUUUUGACCAAACCUUAACACCUUUCUCUAUGGUGAUACUUUUAGAAAGACUUGAUCUCCCACAUUGCACUCAAUAUCUUUUCUUUUAAGGUCUGCAUAACAUUUUUGUUUAUUGGAAGUUGCUUAAAACCUCUCCUAUAUCAGCUUUAUUCUUCCUUUGGACUCUUGAACUAAUUCGAGACAUAGAAAUUUUCUUUCUCCCAGUUCAAUCCAACUCAAAAGGGUUCUACACUUUUGUCCUUACAAGGCUUCAUAUGGAGCCAUUUGGAUGCUUGCUUGAAAACUGUUGUUAUACGAAAAUUCAGCUAAGGGUAAAUGAUCUUCCCAACUGCCUCGGAAAUCAAUAAUAAAUUCUCUCAACAUGUCUUCUAGAAUUUGGAUUACCUACUCGAUUUGACCGUUAGACUGCGGAUGAAAAGCAGUGCUAAAAUAUAAACGUGUUCUCAAUGAAUCUUGUAGUUUUUUCUAGAAUUGAGAUGUAAAACGGGGAUUUUGAUCUGAAAAAUAGACAAGGGUACUCCAUGCAAUCUGAUUAUUUUGGAGAUGUACAACUUUGCUAACCUCUGUAGGGAAUAAUUUUUGCGUACUGGUAAGAAGUGAGCUAACUUAGUUAACCAAUCCACUAUAACAUAAAUUGAAUCUUUCGUAGUCAAUGUUAACGGUAACCCACUAAAAAAGUCCAUCGUUAUGUGCUCCCACUUCCAUUGUGGAAUUUUAAUAGGUUGCAAUAGCCUAGAAGGAAACUGAUGCUCCAUUUCCACUUGCUGACAAGUCAAACACUUAACUACAAAGUCUAUUAUAUCUCAUUUCAAACCUGGCCACUAGUAUAACUCCUUGAUGUCUUAAUACAUCUUUGUUCCUCCGAGAUGCAUGUCAUAAGGGCUAGCAUGCGCUUCUGGAAGCAUGGUUUGUCUUAAUUAUUCAUCUUUGAGCACACAAAACCUUCAUCGGAAACACAAUACUCCAUUAUCAUUCAAUGUGAAAUCUUUGAUUUUACUCUCUUCUAUCUGCUUAAUAUGGGGUAACAAGGUUAUGUCUAAAGGUUUACCUUGCAACUCGACUAACACACUUCCAUUGUCAUGCAAACUUAACCUUGCUAAUAUUGCUCUUAAUUCAGUCAUCGACUUUCAGCUAAAGGCAUCUACCAUAACAUUAGCUUUCCCUAAAUGGUAAUCAAUCACACAAUCAUAAUCUUUCAACAACUCUAACUAUCUCCUUGUAUAAGGUUCAAUUCGUUUUAGGUAAGGAGGUAUUUAAGGCUUUUAUAAUCAGUAUAGAUGUAACACUUGUCCCCAUACAAGUAAUGUCUCCAUAUUUUUAGGGCCAAAACUACUACGACCAAUUUUAGAUCAUGAGUUGGAUAAUUGCAUUCAUGAGUUUUCAAUUGUCUUGAUGCAUAGGUGGUAUCUUACCAUCUUGAAUUAACACACAACCAAGGCCUAUGUAGGACGCAUCACUGUACAUCUCAUAUUCUUUCCCAAAUUCAGGUUGAAUUAACACGGGUGCUUGAGUUAAAACAAUUUUGAGCUUUUUGAAACUAGUGUGCUAUUCUUCUGUCCACUUAAAAGGAACAUCAUUUCUAAGUAGUUUAGUGAGAAGGGCAGCUAUUACGGAGAAUCAUUCAACAAAUCUGCGAUAAUACCUUGUUAAGCCCAAAAAAUUAUGGAUUUUUAAAACAUUUUUUGGUUGUUUCCAUUCAAGGAUUGUUUUCACUUUCUUGGGAUCUACUCAGAUACCCUUGGUGGAUACCACAUGUCCCAAAAACAUAACUUCUUUAAGCCAAAAUUCACAUUUACUCAACUUGGCAUAAAGUUUCUUUUCACGAAGAUUUGUAAGACUUUCCUAAGGUGUUUAUUAUAUUCAAGUUUGAUUUUAGAAUAAACUAAGAUGUCAUCAAUGACUACCAUAACAAAUUGAUCAAAGAAGGGUUCAAAUUCACAAUUCAUAAGGUCCAUAAAAGUGAAUGGGGUAUUGGUUAAACCAAAUGGCAUUACAAGGAACUCACAGUGCUCGUAACAGGUUCUAAAGGCAGUUUUAGGUACAUUUUCUUCUUUAACUUCUAGAAAUACUUUAGUCUUAGGCCUAUCUUUGAAAACACUGUGGCUCCCCUAAACUGGUCAAACAAGUCAUCUAUUCUAGGUAAAGGAUAUUUGUUUCUUACGGUAAUCAAUGCAAAGUCUAAGGGUUCCAUCUUUCUUUUUCACAAAAAAGAUUGGCGCUCCCUAUGGUGACAUGCUAGGCCUAAUAAACCUGCGAUCCAAAAGUUCCUGAAGUUGGAUUUUCAGUUCAUACAAUUCUUUUGGGGCUAUACAAUAAGGAGCUAUAGAUACGGGAUUGGUUUCAGACAUAAUUUCAAUUUUGAAUUCUACUUCAAGAUCUGGGGGUAUUCUUAGUAAUUAUUAGGGGAAUACAUCAGGAAAGUCUUUAAUAGUUUAAAUACUUUCUAAGGCAUUACUAUUGGUAUUCCCAUUUAAUACAUAGGCUAAGUAAGCUUCACACAUUUUUCAAAUUAACUUUUCGACAACCGUGGCUGCCACAACAUUAGAUAGAUAGCCUCUAUGUUCCCCAAACAUGACAACUUCUUUGCCCUCGAUUGUUCUUAACUUUACUCUCGGUUGUUCUUAACUUUACUCUCUUUGUGGCACAAUCUAAGUUUGCCAACCCAUACCUAGUAUUAAAUUAAACUCCUCAAAAGGUAACUUUAUAAGGUCAGUAAGAAACACCACCCCUGAAACCUCUACCGAACAUCUUUAAUAGAUUUUAUUAGCGGUGACAGAUUGUCCCAAAGGGCUUAACAUAGUUACUGUAGUGGUGGUCACUUCUACCCUAACACUUAGCUUUUCUGACAUUUCACAAUAUACAUAGGAGUGGGUGGAACUUAUAUCACUUAGGGUGAAAUAAGGGGUAGAGUUAACAAUAAAUGUACAUGCUAUAACAUUGGCAUUAUCCUUUUCCUUACGACCUCUUACGGUGUAGACUAAGGUAGGUUGUCUAGCCUCAGUUUAGUUGGCACUGGCAUUGUUAUUUCAGUUCUGGCCUUAGCCCCUCGGAGGUGGUUGGGUCAGCUUCUGGUUUUCUGUCUGAUUUUGAGCUAGAGCUUGGUUUAGACCUGUACGUUGCGAACAAUUUCUAAUAAGGUGGUCCAUCGAACCACAGACAUAAUAGAUACCUUUCUUUUUCCAAUACUCACCGGGGCUUACCACAGUAAUCAUAUUUGGGUUUUUCAUUUUUAUCAUUCACCUCAGCUCCCUUUUGUUGUGGUUUAAUUUCUCUAGUCCGUUUAAUAAGACGGAUGUCCGAACCAAAGUUACCCGAAUAUCUUUUAACUAAACUUCAACUUUUCGCUCAUUCAAUAUGAGUUGUCUAUUUAAUCUUCUUAGCAAUUUUGGCUUUCUCCACCAGACUUUUAGAUACCCUUUCCUAAUGAGUGGCAACAUGUAUACUAAUAUCACUUUGCAACCCAUUUUCAAAUUGCACACUUUUAACCUGUUCAGUGGUUAUCAUUUUCUGGGCAUAACGACUAAGUUUCAAAAAUUCAGCCACAUAUUCAGCUAUUAACUUAUCAUCCUGUUUCAGUUCAAGAAAUUCAAGUCUGCGAGCCUCCACAUAUCUUGCACCCACAAAAUUUCUUUAAAAAUUUUCCAAAAAAUAUUUCCAUUUGAUACGUUCAACCUAAGUACCUUUUUCAACAGCCUGCCACCAAUGAUAGACCUUUUCCCUUAAUAAGGACAUUGUACCUUUUAGUUUCUGCUCUGGGGUACAUUCUAGAUAUCAACCUUGUCGUAAUCUGACAUUGAGGCCAUGUUCCACCACUAGAUCUCCCAUGCCCUUGACCACGAAGCCUAGUUACUUUAUUGGACCGAAAUGCCUGAGGCGGUGGUUGUCCAACAAAUGUAAGAAUGGCUAUAGUAGACGGAGAAGCAAAUGAUAACGAUUUGUUCUCCAUCACAAGAGUGGCUGAAAACGUGGCCUGAGAUAGAUGUACUUGUUGACGGGCUCCAGCAUCCAACCGCGUCAUCGUUAUGCCUUGUAAAUUGAAUGGCACUUGACUCGUCGUUAUUAUAGAAAUGACAUAGACAUAUUCUGGAGGAAAGCCAUUAAGAAUGGUUGAUUGAUACUCCUCUAGAGAGAUAUGCUGAUCACACCCAUCCAUUGAAUCACAAAGGUGUUUAAUUUUAGCCAAAUAGGCUGACAUCGAAAGCUUAUUCUUUUUAAAAUUAUGCAGCAAAAAACGAUACCUCAUGGCUUUAGUAGCGGAUUGAGUUCCAAAAAUGUGCAUGAGAGCACCCCCAAAGUUCAAACGCAGAAGAUGAAUCCCAGUCAACUAAUUAUGCAGCGAAGCACUUCCUGUGGAAAGAAGCCAAGCAAACAACGUUGAAUCUUGUUGUUCAUACUGUGCAUACGCUAGGUUUUCAACAGUAAGACCACUGGCCCCAAUAACUUCUUUUGAGGGUAUAUGAACUGUUCCAUCAGCAAAAGAAUGUAAUUUGUGAGUUUUGAUUACCAGUAAAACAUACUACUUCCAAGCCAAGAAGGUACUGUUAUCAAUAAGCACUGCUACUUUAUGUGAAGCAAAAUCAAAUGGAAUGAAAAAUUUCUUGAUUGUUGAUUCUUUCAAAGGUCGCAGCAUCCAUAGCUAACAGUAAUGCUCUGUAAUGCUAAUCUGACGACAGAGACGAGUUAGGGGUGUUACACCAAUGGUUUUAAAAUCACAAGGCCAAAAUAUCAGAAAUUAAACACAUAACACUUACCGAUUAUCCGUGCACUAUCACUGCAUGUUAGCAUCUUUUACAAAAUACUAUCACUUUCAUAUAACAUAUAUAUCAUGUAUACAUUUGCACUUUUCACAACAGAUACCAUAUCCACAUAUCACAUACUUGAGCUUCUUAUCACCAUGCACAAUUUCAUAAUCAUAUAAGCACAAAUCCACAAAACAAAUAUAGAUACAAGAAAACUUAUGCUCAGAAUUUAGAAUAGAGAUUUAGGCUACUACUAAAUUCUCCAAUAACACUUGACUCGUGUUUAUGAAUAGUGAUUCCAAACACUCACCCCCAUGCUUUUGCUGAGAAGUCAAAAGCUCAACUAGCUUUUCCUUUAACUUGUAGAAGGCUCCAAUGAAUCCGAGGCUUAACACACAAUAACCGUACAAAGUUCACAACCAGAUUGUAGCUAAGGACUCACUUAAACCGACUAAAGCAUCAACCUAUUCUAAGUUCUCAUGUAACCAAAAUUUAACAUAACAAACUUAGAAUGCUCGUAACUCGGUCUACACUUAACCUUUUUGCCUAAAAUGAAUUAUGUUCAUCUGAUUAGUCAUCUGCUUCAAAUCCUCAACUCUUAAACCACUAAAAACUACCCAAUUCAUAUUAUCAUAAUUUUUCGACAUAUUUUUGGCAAUCUUCACAAAAUUCAUUAAAACGUAAGUAAUUAUCAACGAAACUUCAAGGUGAUUUUAAAAACCUUCUAAUCAUGAUAAAAUGAGUUGAAAAAGACUUCAAAAUCACGUUUUAACUCAAAAUUAAAAAAGGGCAAAACUAGCAGUAAUUAUCACAACUCACUAUACGUAUUCAUCACAAUUAAAAAAGAAACAAAUGGGAUAGGAAGGCUUACUUUCGAAACUUAUGAUAGCGGUUUAGGCUACUCCUAAGCUCUCGUUUAACACUAUGAAUUGUGCCUACAAGCAGUGAUUCCAAAACACUCAUCGUUCACAUUUUCACUUGAAAAUCGCAAGCUCAAACUAGUUUUUGCUCACCUUUCGCCUUACUCAAAAAGGGCCCCAACAGUUCCAAAGCUUUAGAUAUAUAACCACACAACAUAUACAAGCAAUUAGCAGCCAAAAAACGUCUUAAUUCAAACCAAAAUGUAGGUUCAAAACUAGCUUUUCUAAAAACUAGAAUUUUCUACUAGAUUCACUAAAAAUCAAAUAGGGUUUGUCCUAUUUUGAUUACUCUAACUUUUUUCUCAAUUUAGUCACUUUAAAUAAAAUAAUUGUGUGACUUAGUUACUAACUGCCUCUCGACGUACCAACACCAGAGGUGUGAAUACUGCUAUUAAGGAUAGGAAUUAAGGCGGUGUCCACAAGUAUAUGGGUUAGGUUGUAAUAUAGUUUACAACAAAGUAUGAAAGUAUCCGAGAAUCGUACCCUAGGGAGGUGAGACUAAACUAAUAUUAAUUUCUACGUUGAUGGGUCAAGUUAGUAAUUAAAUUAAAUUAUAUUACAAUAUAUCCUAAGGUGAUGAGAAAAUAUCUUUUAUAAAAAUAAGAUAAUUAAGAAUUGGAAUAGAGUGCAGAUUCUAUCAAUUCUAAUGAUGGAAGACUAACUCGUUUUAGUGUUCAUAAUUAUCUUCUACUUAGGGUUCUCCACAAGGCCUCUCUGUCUUCCACUAACCUAAUGUGUCGGCAAAAACUACUUAUCUCUCGAUGCCACAGUCCAGACCGAACGGGGGUAAGGUUUUAACGAAUAGGUAAUACUGAUUUUGGGUUCAUUCCCACCUAUAUGACUUAUUAAAGUCAUCAAGCCUAGGGUUUUAAGUUCUUCCUAUCCCCGACCAACUGGUUUGCUAAGAAUCUCUAAAUAGAAGUUAAUGAAUCCCACAUCCACUCGUUAAUCUUCCUUACCGGAUUAGUUCCCCAUGGAUUUAACACAUGCAAAGAAAUUGAUAGUAAAAUAUAAACAUUAUAAAAGAAAUCAAGAGUAGAGAUGAGAAAAAUCCUGAUAAUUUAAUAACAGAAGCACGAACUAAUGAAAACUUAAUGAAAAACUAAACUGAAUACAAAGCUAAAUAAAAACUAUUCAUGAAGUGUUUAGAUCCUUCUAUUUAUAGGCCUAGGGUUGGUCAUCAAUCAUUGACCUAAUUCGGCUGACGUUUUGCAUUGAAGUUUGUUGUGUGAGCACCCUUGGUUAAUUAAUUCCUCAUGUCAUGUCGGUGUCGCGACACCCACUGGCCUGUGUCGCGACACUAAUGGUAGUUUACGAGUUAGGGCUUGAUUUUAGGAUUGUGUCCCGACACCCUCUUGCUAUGUUGCAAAAGCUUACGAAAUUGAUGAACUAUAAGGAAAGGCUUGGUACUCCAAUUAAAGAACAUAUACUUUUGUUUAUGAAUCUUUGCAUAAGUGGAGGACAAUGGGCAGGUUUGGAUCAUAACACUUAGACAGAGAUGGUGCUCAAAUAUCUAAUAUUAUUAUUUUUAUUAUAUUAUUAAAAAUUCCACGUGUCAACUACCAAUUUGCUAAAGGGUUUUUUUGUAACAGUGAUAAUGGUAUGGGCCCAUAAUGGUUACAAAAUUAUAAUUUCAGUACUGGAUUUGACAAAAAAAUGUAUCUAACUAAAAGAAGUGUUAUAGUUUGAGGGUUGUGCAUUGAACUAAGCCUUUUAUAUAGUAGUGAUAUAAAUAUCUUCUUCUUUUUUUGUACAACGAUUAUUUUCCCUAGCCUAGUCCUAGGAAAGGUGAACAACUAGAUCAAUAGGUUACAAUUUAAAGUUUAGUGACAUAAUUAUCUUUAAUUGCAUUUGGUAUCAUAUACUCAUAUUGAUUUUUAUGACAUUUCAAGUUAACUUGUGACAUGAACUAAGCAAAAAGCUUUAAUAUAGUAUAAAUACUAAAUAAUUGUAUAUUGGGAUACUCGUUCUAUUUAGAUAUUUGAUGUCUACAAAGCGUUAUUGUGGCUUUGUGUUCAAAGGUUAGAUAAUAUUGUGAUUGAAUCUGAUUGUCAAAGUGUGAUCAAUGCUUUAAAUCUUCCAAGUAUUGAUGUGUGAAAAGUCGCAGCAUCCAUAACUAACGGAGCAAUUAGAAGGGAAAAAAAGAAAAGAGCCUACUUUGAUACCAUAUUAGAGAUAUGAAAUAUGAGGAAAUUCGUUAAUCUGACUUAACAAAUACAAUCAGAUAUCCAAUACUUGUACACUAGAAAUGUAUCGCUAAUAGAAUAAAAAAAACUACCCUUAACUACUUAACUAGCAAUGAACUGCUCUUAACUAAUUUACAUUACUUAGUUACUGCUGAUGGAAAGCACUUGUGACACUGUUAUCAACAAUGGAUGUCUUGAUUAUGAAAAAAAUCAAAUCUCAAAUUAAUAAUUUAUUAACUAUUGAAUUUGACGAUUAAACCCCAUCAGAAGCGAAUCCAACAAUUCAUUACGGGGAGCCAAAAUAAAAUUUUAAAAAUUAAAGGGAUUAAAAUUUAAAAAAUUGUUAAAAGAAACUUAAAUUAAAUAAUUCAUAACUAAAAGACACUGAAAGAGAUAUUAUGCCGGUAAAGGGUGACCGUCUACCCUUUAAUUAGGCCAUGAACAUCGGUUGACUAACACCGUUGUUUGUUUGGUUUUUUUUUUUAAAUAAUUAGAGAUUUUAGCUUAGUUGGUGUAAGCAGCAAUUAUUUGUCCAUUUAAUAUUAUAUUUUGGUGGGAGGUCAUUAAUUCAUGAAGAUAAAACGGCGAGGACGGUUGCCGUGUCUCAAUACGCGACUUAGUACGUAAGUGCUUACGUUUGUAUCAUAUAUAUUAUUGAAUAUAUCCUAAUAAGUAAUCUAAUCUAGAUACUGAAAAUCUAAUAAUCUUUGUUAAUUAUAUUAUGGUAAAUUCUGCAUCAAUAUUCACCUUCUUUUCCCUUGUUAAUUUUAAAUUUCUUGAAUGAUAAAAUUUUUAUUUAUGGAGUUCAUUAAUAAAUAUUUUUAUAUAAUUGAUGAAUAUUUUAUAUUUGAAAUUUAUUUAAUAUCAUUUAUUUUAUAUUUGUAAAUAUUUAUAUAUAUAUAUUAAAUUUUUUUAAUAUAUCGAUAAAUUUGAAAUGAUAUAUCGAAAUAGAUCGGUACCGUUAUGUACCAGUUCUAGUAGAAAAAUGAUGUGCCCACCAGUGUUGUAAGCUCCCCGACUCGACCUAGAUGCUAGACAGAAUCUAGAAGACAACAUCAGCCAUCGAGAUGGCCUACCAGGGUUAUCGAAGUUUAAAAAACAGCCAUUUUAAAACCUUCGUUUAAUUUCGUAGAAAAAUUCGAUUACAAACCGUUUUAUUAUUCCUCAAAAUCUUAAUUUCAAUUUACUAGCAAAAGAAAUGAUAUCUAUUGGUUUUAAGGAAAACCGGGGCUUCAUGCAUACAAAUUAAUGAUUAUAGCAUAAUAUCUUAAAAUUUUAAAUAAAAUGUCAUGCAAAAUAAAAUCUCAAAUCUAAAACCUAGGUUCGAUGCCAUAGUUCGAAAUAAAGUAGUACAAAAACUAUAAUAAUAGGAUAACCCAAAUAAUAAGUCUUAAUAAAUUGAAAUUUUGAAACCGAGCCGAGACACUCUAAUUUUCACGUAUGCGUUCCUAACCUGGUGGGUUAUCUUUAAGGAUGAAAAUUUAAGGGGGGAGUGAGCUGUAACGCUUAGUGUGAGUUCAAUCACGAGAAAAUUAGUGCAACAGUUAGUAAGAUGCAUUAGAUAAUAUCGCAUAAAAUAUUCACAAUCAGGCAACAAUUCAAAGUAUCGAUUUUUCAAAGCAACCACCAUUAAUAUAUCGGAACUCACAAUAGUAGUUUUCAGAAUAACCAAAUUUUCAUAUUUACCCACAAUGAACAUAUAUAGACACAUAUAUAUAAUAAUAGAUUUUUGUAUGCACAUGUGUUUAAAAUGCCAUAUAGUUUUGGUUUUUAACAAAAUAGAUCCUACCUCACCACUACACACACUAUAAUGGGAGUUAACCAGAACUCCCUUCUCCAACGCAACGGGAUAUGGAUAAACCACUAUUGGUUCGUAGAUAGUAACUUCCAUUUGACUGUGGACACACAGAAAGUCCCCGUAGUUGGAAUCUGCCUUUAGUUGUGGGUUCACAGCAAAAAGUCCUGCAGAUGAAACCUACUUUUUGGCUAUAGUUUAUACAGCAUAAACCUGCAGCUAGAAUCUGCAUUUGGCAAUGGAUACACAGCAAUACCCACAGAUGGAAUUUGCCUUUGGUUGUGGAUGAUACAAAACAAAUAAAUGCAGAUAAAUUGCCAAACUUCUUCCGAUCACAUCAUCUCAUCCCAUGCAAUGCAAUGCGGCAAUAUUUAAUAUAGAUCAAGUAUGAUAGCAAUUAAUGUACUAAUACAUGACCAAUCAGUAGCAAAAUCAUGCUUUCAUGUGUUCAGAUUAAUAGUAACAUAAGUCAUGUCGUUCAUACGAUCACAAGUAUAGAUACAAUAUUAACAUAUACUAUUCAUAAUUUAUGCAAAUAUACAUAUACAAAUAAACACUGCAUUAAUUCGAUCGAUCAUGGUUUCUAACAUAUUUCAUAUCCUCAGGGAUCCAAUUGCAUAAUUCAAACACUAAAAAUAGUUCAGAACUUAUUCAGGGAUACAUCUGAUCAAAACAUAGAAUUCUAGGUCAUCCUCGAAAUUUACCUAGUUUGAAUAGAUGAGGAUACUGUUGGCGAAACGUGACUUUUGGUUCCCAUGUAGCCUCCUCUGUCCUAUGGUUCUGUCACAAUACUUUCACAAGAGGAAUUUAUUUCCUUUUCAAAACCUUUACGUCUCAAUGAAGAAUUUGAAUUGGUUCUUCCUCAAAGGACAAAUUCGGUCUCAAUUCGAUCUCCUUAAUUGGAAUAAUAUGGGUAGGAUUGGAUCAGUACCGUCUCAACAUAGAGACAUGGAAAACGUCAUGGAUUCGAUCAAGUUCGGGAGGUAAUUCUAAUUGAUAAGCAGCUGGGUCGAUUCUCUUAAGGAUUCGGUACGGUUUUAUGAAUUUUGGACUUAACUUACCCUUUCGAUCGAACAUGAACACCUUUCACCUUGGGGACACUUUCAGGAAGACUUGAUCGCCGACACUGUAUUCAAUGUCCUUCCUCUUUAAGUCAUAUGUAAUUGCAAUGUAUGAGUUUUCAUCCUACGUAGUUCGUGUGCCAUGUGUGGGGUGAAGUCAUAUUCUUUUCGAUUUAGUCCAGUUGUUUCCGAUUCUUUAUCCAUUGUGCGUGUGUUAUGUGUAUCAUAUAAUAUUGUAUUUGAUCGAACAUAUAUUUAUAUUUAUAUUGUACUUGUGAUUGUAUUGUAUUUAAUAAGUUUGUGAAAUUAACAAUUUAAAAAUAUAUAUUUACCUAUUUCUAUUAUAAUAUUGUAUUUGAUAGAACAUAUAUUUAUACUUAUAUUGCACUCGCGAUUAUAUUGUAUUUAAUGCGUUUGUCAAAUUAACAAGGGGGCUCCCAGUUUUGACAUUCACUUUUUCGAGAUUUUAACUUUUUUUUAAAUAGUUACUGAUGUCUUUUUUUUUACAUAAUACUUAGAACUAUUCAUAAUCUUUGUUCAAUCUAUAACCAGGAAGAUAAUACAUUUUAGCGCACUCGAACACACGUCCUCCUGUUUCGGUAACAAUAUCCAUGCCAAUCUAGUUAAGACUCAAUCGGCAUAUUUUUAAUGUUAUAUUUUGGUAUAAUUAAAACGAGAUUGCGUAUUAAUAUUUAUGAAAAAUGGUUUUUUUUUUUCAUCAUCGAUGUUGCUUUUAUGAUUAAAAUUGAGAGAGAAUAUUGUUCAAAGAAAAAUAAAAAAAAUCAAUGAGGUAGUCAUGAACUUGGGGGGCGAAAAUGGCGUGGAGAUAGGUUGACUUGCCUCAAUAGCUAUCUGCUUGCGCAUGUAUCAUAUUAUUGAAUAUAUAUCUAAUCUAUGUGGUAGCGGUCAGGUUUUCAAAGUUUGGGACAUUUAGACAUGAAAUAUAUUGGGGAGAUUUUACUAUGGGUUGAGAAAAAAAUUAUAUUAGGACCAAAAUUUCUAACAAGUUGCAUGAGUUUGACCAUAUGCUAUAUAGCUUUCGGUUUGUAUGUAUUCUGACUUUUGUUUAUCAUUUUGCAUCACAACAGGUCCAUGCUCUCGGGACUGAUACCGUACGGUACUUUGUACUGAUAGUUUAACUUGGAGCCACAUAUCGAAAGUCCACUUUCAAUAUGGCAUCACACGGAGAUUUAAUUAAUUUUUUUACAACAGUUGAUGAAAUCAACCACUUAUUCUUUUAAACAUUAAAUUUUAGUGCAUAAAUUGAUGAAGAGCCCGGCUCCCAUAUGGAAUCUUGUCCAAUCAAACAGGAGUAUCAUAGCCUAUAAAUAGCAUAUUGAGCCGUAUAAUAAUUCACUUCAAAACAAAAAGAUCUUAAAAACAAACAAGACGUCAGCUAAGAUGAAUAUGGGCAAUGCUAAUGGGGAGCAUGCUAUUGAGGCACUCCAAGCACAAGCUCACAUUUGGAGACAUGCUUUCAACUUCGUAAGCUUCAUGUCUCUAAAAUGUGCACUUGAUUUAGGCAUCCUUGAUAUCAUUCAUGAUCAUGGCAAGCCCAUGACUAUUACGGAGCUGGUUUCUGCGCUACAGAUGCUCAACCCUGCUAAAGCAUGCGACAUUUAUAGGCUCAUGCGCAUUCUAGUUCACUCGGACUUCUUUGCACGCCAAAAGUUAGACAAUGAUGCUCAAGAAGAAGGAUAUGUUCUUACCAACUCUUCUCGUAUUUUGCUCAAGAAUAAUCCCUUCUGCAUAACGCCUACUUUGAAAGCUACAAUGGAUCCUAUUAUAACAAAGCCUUGGAGUUUUCUAGGGACCUGGUUCCAAAAUGAUGAUCAUACUCCAUUUGCUACUGCAUAUGGAAAGACAUUGUGGGACUAUUUUACCCAUGAUCCUCAGCUAAAAGAUUUGAUAAAUGAUGGCUUAGCUAGUGAUUCUCAAUUGGUUACUAGUGUUCUAGUUGACAAGUGUAAAGGGGCAUUUGGGGGAUUGGACUCCCUUGUAGAUGUUGGGGGUGGCACAGGAACUACGGCCAAGGCCAUUGCUGAUACAUUUCCACUCAUGGAGUGCACUGUGUUUGAUCUUCCUAAUAUUGUUGCUGGCUUGCAAGGGAGUAAGAACUUGAAAUAUGUUGGAGGCAACAUGUUUGAGGCAUUUCCAGUAGCAGACGCAAUUUUAUUAAAGGUUAAGCUUUACUAAAUUUAUUCGCAUUAUUUUUUUCUGGUAUUUUUACUUUUAUAAAUAAUGCACAACAAAUUCCAUUACACAUGAUAAUAUUCAAAGAUUUGAAGGCAAAUGUAAUCAUAGUUUGUGGGUUAGCUAAUGUUUUAUGUUUUUUGAGCUAAUUAUGAAUGAUAAUUGAACAGAAGGUAUUGCACGAUUGGAAUGAUGAAGGAUGCUUGACAAUUUUGAAGCGAUGUAAAGAGGCCAUUUCAAGCCAAGACAAGGUAGGAAGAAAGUUGAUCAUAAUUGACAUGGUUGUGAGGGAGAAUGAGCAAGUGAAUGAUGAAGCCUCAAGCUUAACUAAAACACAACUCUUUUUUGACAUGUUCAUGUUGGUAUUGGUGGCUGGAAAAGAGAGGCGGGAAGAAGAAUGGGCUAAACUAUUUUUAGAAGCUGGUUUUAGUUAUUACAAAAUUACAACUAUUGUGGGUUUGACAUCUCUCAUUGAGGUUUACCCCUGAGAGCAUUUGGUUAUUGCAUUAUGAGAAUAAUAAUGUGGAGAAAUACAUAGUUGAAGUGGUAAAAUUGUUCUUUGUUGACAUUAAUUACUAGAGUUGUUUGCUGGGAUUUUAAUUGUGUUGCCUAUUCCUAUAAUAAGAAUUGUUGUUGUGUUGUUGUCAUGGUCCUACUCUUCUAGACCUUUCCUAUUGUUAUUACUCUUAAGGUUUGUACUUGGUUGUUUUGUCCGUAAUUUGUUUUACUUCAGUCCAUGCACAUAUAAUUCUAAUUUUAAUAGUUUGGUGGUUGUUGAUUGUUGAUCAGAGCGCAACGGAAGCAUGAUAUUAGAUUUUUAUUAAAUAUUCCAUGAUUAAUUGUGUGGUGUGAUUGGUCAGUUACUGUGUUUGUGGUGGUUUGAAAUGGAGAGUCAGUUUGGUGACUAAUGUGACGUUCCAAGUUCAGGUCGGACCGUUCCUGCCGAGUUUAGGGUGCCACAUCAAAGCCCUAUUUUAAGAUGUUACAAAUAUGCUUGUCAAAGCAGCUACGAAAGAAAUGUAUCCAACUUGCCAUUGCAAAAUGUAAAUCAAAAGAUCCACUUGUCAUUGCCACUUGUCAAGACAUUUGUUGCAAACAAAAAAAUUAUUGGAUGCAAUUUUAAAUUUCAAAAGACUACAUCUAAACCCUAAACCCUAAACCUUUUUCAUAUUUAAAUCAAAAGCAAAUAACAUAAUCAUUAAUCCAUACUUUCAUUUUUUUUGGUUUUGUUUCUUGAUCAUCAAAAACCAUGAUUGUUUAAACCAGAUUAGAUCGACACAUCCUAGGGUUUCAAGGGGGCAUUGCCGCGUAUGGGGGACGUGUGGUCCACAUGCCCGUGUGGUUGGCCAUAUGGCCCUAUUUUAGGCUUGGUUUUUCCCCGAGUCACUUGCAAAAGGAUACACACCUAUCACCGGUGUCUCAAGCGACGUCCCAUGCCUUAACACAUGCACUUAACUCAAAACAGUUGCUCAUACACAUUUUUCAUGGAUGAAUACUUAUGCAGAAUUGGAUACCAUUAAAUUUGCACUCAGACAUUGUAACACCCCUCACCCAGCCCGACCGCCAGACCCGAGUUACAUGACACUACAACAUUAUCGUAACUUUGCCACUUGCACACAUAGCUUCAAGCAAGAACAAUUUUUAUUAGUUUAAGCAUUUUCAGAUGUGAUUGCGACUAGGCAAACAUCAUACAACAUUCGAAAUAGUUUAAAUACAUGCUUAGGGACCAUAUAGCAAAUUUCCAAAAAAAUAUGUAGGUAUUGAUACACAAUAGUAGGAAUCAAUAUUUUGGGAAGUCAGAUAUCGAUACUAAUAAGAAAAUCAAUACCAUUUUAGCAUUCUGGUUUUUCAACUCAAUUUUGAAUCAAAAUGUUUUAUCGAUACAUAAACAAAGGUAUCAGUAUUUUUACCUUGAGUAUCGAUACUUGUAAAAAAGUAUCGAUACCAAAUUCAGUUACUGUUUUCCUGCACAUAGUAAAAAAGUAUCGAUACCAAAUUCAGUUACUGUUUUCCUGCACAUACAUUUUAAGAUCAAGGUAUUGAUAUUUAUGCCCCGAGUAUCGAUACCCCUAUGCAAAUCAACCAAAUCACAACCACAAUAGAUCCUACCUCACCACUACACACUAUAAUGGGAGUUAACCAGAACUCCUUUCUCCAACACAACGGGAUAUGGAUAAACCACUAUUGGUUCGCAGAUAAUAACUUCCAUUUGACUGUGGACACAAAAAAAGUCCCCGUAGUUGGAAUCUGCCUUUAGUUGUGGGUUCACAGCAAAAAGUCCUGCAGAUGAAACCUGCUUUUUGGCUAUAGUUUAUACAGCAUAAACCUACAACUAGAAUCUGCCUUUGGCUAUGGAUACACAGCAAUACCCGUAGAUGGAAUUUGCCUUUGGUUGUGGAUGCACACAAAAUAGAUGAAUGCAGAUAAACUGCCAAACUUCUUCCGAUCACAUCGUCUCAUCCCAUGCAAUGCAAUGCGCCAUAUUUAAUAUAGAUCAAGUAUGAUAGCAAUUAAUAUAUUUAAUAUAGAUCAAGUAUGAUAGCAAUUAAUGCACUAAUACAUGACAAAUCAGUAGCAAAAUCAUGCUUUUCAUGUAUUCGGAUUAAUAGUAACAUAGGUCACGUCGAUCAUACGAUCACAAGUAUAGAUACAAUAUUAACAUAUAUUAUUCGUAAUUUAUGCAAAUAUACAUAUACAAAUAAACACCGCAUUAAUUCGAUCAAUCAAGGUUUCUAACAUAUUUCAUAUCAUCAGGGACCCAAUUGCAUAAUUUCAAACACUAAAAAUAGUUUAGAACUUAUUUAGGGAUUCAUCUGAUCAAAACAUAGAAUUCUGGGUCAAAAUGGUAAAAUCUUAGUUAUAGGGUACAGACGACUGUGUUAUCGGAUCAUGUCGGAGGCCUUGGGUCGUGUGGAUGGAAUGCACACCGCGUGGCUAGGCCAUAUGGGUCAUGCAAAAUUAAGCAUCAGGGGUGACAAGGUUGUUUGGGAGGUCGUGUAGGGGGUCCUAGGCCAUGUAAAAGGUGAUCAUCCUAGGGUUCAAGGGGGCAUGGCCGCGGAUGGGGGACAUGUGGUCCACAGGCCCUUAUGGUUGGCCAUGUGGCUCUAUUUUAGGCUUGGUUUUGCCCCGAGUCACUUGUAAAAGAACACACACCUGUCGUCGUGUCUCGAGCGACAUCCCUUUCGAUCAAAUCUGGUCUUGGAUACCUAAAUCGAGUCCUUCAAACAACAUUAAUUAAGAAUUAAGAAAUGUUAUCAAGGUCUAUCAAGAUUACCGUGAAUUUCGACAAGAAAUCAUUAAAAAGAUUGAUAAUGGAUGAAAAAUCAGUUUCAAGAUAAUGAUAUUAAGAAUCUUUGAAGUUCCAUUUAUAGAUAAGGUGCUUACCAAUCCUUAGCAAGAUUAGAGAUGAAAUUGAUGACGUUACGCUAAACUGAUAGAAAGGCUAGGUUGAUCGAAGAUUGUUUUCAGGUUCGAGAUGGAAAAUAAUAUUUCACAACAAUGGAGAAAAAUAUUCACAAAUGGAAUAAUGGAGAAGAAAACGGGAGAAUUAAAUAGAGAGAAAAUAAAUAAAAUUUGGUUUGGUUUGAAAAAGGAACAAGAAUACAAAUGUAAUUAGGAAAAGAUAAAUACCCAGAUGUUUCAAAAUAUGAGGGAUUAUUUGGGAAGUAACUCUUCUUGUCGAAAUUAAACAGGGGAAAUGAAAUGGGGUGGUGUUUGGCAUGACUUGAACCUUGAAAACAAGGGAUGGAAUAUAAAGGCUUAACCAUUUGGCUGCUGCUCACUCUUGAAAUGUAUUUGCUCCAUUUAAUAUAUAUUCUAGGGGAUUUUCAUUCUACUUUGCUAAAAAAUUAAAACAAAAAAAUUGGAGAGAGGUGGAUUAAACCGAGAAUCUCUAGGGAGUGUACUAAGCUCUUAACCAUUAAGACUAAGAUUCAUUUCUUAGUUAAUUAUUACUUCUAAACCUAUAUAUUUUGGGGUGUUACAAUUCUCCCCUACUUAAAGAAAUUUCAUCCUCGAAAUUUACCUAGUUCAAAUAAAUGAGGAUACAGUUGGCGGAACAUGGACUUUUGGUUCCCAUGUAGUCUCCUCCGGCCUAUGGUUCCAUCACAAUACUUUAAGAAGAGGAAUUUAUUUCCUUUUCAAAACCUUUACGUCUCAAUGAAAAAUUUGAAUUAGUUCUUCCUCAAAGCACAAAUUUGGUCUCAAUUCGAUCUCCUUAAUUGGAAUAAUAUGGGUAGGAUUGGAUCGGUACCGUCUCAACAUAAAGACAUGGAAAACGUCACGGAUUCGAUCCAGUUCAGGUGGUAGUUCUAAUUGAUAAGCAGCUGGGUUGAUUCUCAUAAGGAUUCGGUAGGGUUUUAUGAAUUUUGGACUUAACUUACCCUUUCGAUCGAACAUGAACACCUUUCACCUUAGGGACACUUUCAGGAAGACUUGAUCGCCAACACUGUAUUCAAUGUCCUUCCUCUUUAAGUCAUAUGUAAUUGCGAUGUAUGAGUCUUCAUCCUACGUAGUUCGUGUGCCAUGUGUGGGGUGAAGUCAUAUUCUUUUCGAUUUAGUCCAAUUGUUUUCGAUUCUUUAUUCGUUGUGCGUGUGUCAUGUGUAUCAUAUAAUAUUGUAUUUGAUCGAACAUAUAUUUAUAUUUAUAUUUAUAUUGUACUUGUGAUUGUAUUGUAUUUAAUAAGUUUGUGAAAUUAACAAUUUAAAAAAAUAUAUAUUUACCUAUUUCUAUUAUAAUAAUGUAUUUGAUAGAACAUAUAUUUAUACUUAUAUUUCACUCGCGAUUAUAUUGUAUUUAAUGCAUUUGUCAAAUUAACAAGGGGGCUCCAAUUUUGCCAUUCACUUUUUCGAGAUUUUAACUUUUUUUAAAUAGUUACUAAUGUCUUUUUUUUUGGUUAUAAUACUUAGAACUAUUCAUAAUCUUUGUUCAAUACAUAAGUUGGAGGAUAAUACAUUUCAGCGCACUUGAACACACGUCCUCCUGUAUGGCCUGGAGAUAGGUUGACUUGCCUCAAUAGCUAUCUGCUUGCGCAUGUAUAGCGGUCAGGUUUUCAAAGUUUGGGACUUCUAGACAUGAAAUAUGUUGGGGAGAUUUUACUAUGGGUUGAGAAAAAAUUAUAUUAGGACCAAAACUUCUAACAUUAUAUUAAUAUUACAAUUUUUAACAGUUUUAAUUAAAAAUGUUGAUAUAAACCUUUUCCUUUUGAAGGGCACAACAAGUUGCAUGAGUUUGACCAUAAGCUAUAUAGCUUUCGGUUUGUAUGUAUUCUGAUUUUUGUUUAUCAUUUUGCAUCACAACAGGUCCAUGCCCUGAGGACUGAUGCCGUACUGUACUUUGUACUGAUAGUUUAGCUUGGAGCCACAUAUCGAAAGUCCACUUUCAAUAUGGCAUCACACGGAGAUUUAAUUAUUUUUUUUACAGCAGUUGAUGAAAUCAACCACUUCUUUUAGUCAUUAAAUGCAUAAAUUGAUUAAGAGGUCGGCUUCGAUAUGGAACCUUGUCCAAUCAAACAGGAGUAUCAUAGCCUAUAAAUAGCAUAUUGAGCCGUAUGCUAAUUCACUUCAAAACAAAAAGAUCUUAAAAACAAACAAGACGUCAGCUAAUAUGAAUAUGGGCAAUGCUAAUAGGGAGGAUGCUAUUGAGGCACUCCAAGCACAAGCUCACAUUUGGAGACAUGCUUUCAACUUCGUAAGCUUCAUGUCUCUAAAAUGUGCACUUGAUUUAGGCAUCCUUGAUAUCAUUCAUGAUCAUGGCAGCCAUGACUAUUACCGAGCUGAGCUGCGCUACAGAUGCUCAACCCUACUAAGGCAUGCGACAUUUAUAGGCUCAUGCGCAUUCUAGUUCACUCGGACUUCUUUGCGCGCCAAAAGCUAGACAAUGAUGCUCAAGAAGAAGGAUAUGUUCUUACCAACUCUUCUCGUAUUUUGCUCAAGAAUAAUCCCUUCUGCGUAACGCCUACUUUGAAGGCUACAAUGGAUCCUAUUAUAACAAAGCCUUGGAGUUUUCUAGGGACCUGGUUCCAAAAUGAUUAUCAUACUCCAUUUGCUACUGCAUAUGGGAAGACAUUGUGGGGCUAUUUUACCCAUGACCCUCAGCUAAAAGAUUUGAUAAAUGAUGGCUUAGCUAGUGAUUCUCAAUUGGUUACUAGUGUUCUAGUUGACAAGUGUAAAGGGGCAUUUGAGGGAUUG
rnacentral:lncRNA from 1 species